rnacentral:rRNA from 1 species
AUGCGCGACUUCCAGAACUGUGUAGCUCAAACCGAAUGCUUAAAUAGAGCUCAUAUCGUUCUUAUUCCCAAAACAGAAAAUGUCACCACACCUGAUGCUUUCCGACCAAUCUCUCUACAUAAUUGUCCUAUCAAGGUGGUUGCUAAAAUCCUCACCAAUCGCAUAAAACCCUUAAUUCCGCUGCUCGUGCAUGACAACCAAACCGGGUUCAUUUCCGGACGAUGCAUAGUUGAAAACUUUGUCUACGCAGCCGACCUCGUCAGCUCCUGCCACUCCAAGAAAGCACCAACCAUGGUCAUAAAACUUGACUUUCGAAAAGCUUUCGACUCUCUAUCAUGGGACUCACAUCUCACCAUUCUGCAAACCCGAGGCUUCACUCACAAAUUCUCUACUUGGAUUACCGACCUUCUUACCACCGGGAAAACCGCUGUUCUGCUCGACGGGGUCCCUGGAAACUGGAUCAACUACAAGAAUGGUCUUAGACAGGGAGAGCCGAUAUCUCCAUAUAUAUUUAUCAUUGUCGUUGACUUGUUAUAACAGAUGAUCAAAUAG